rnacentral:tRNA from 1 species
GUCUAUGUAGUUUAUAAAAAAAUAUCGGUCUUGUAAACCGAAAUAAGAUUUCUGUCUCCUAGACU